GUGGCCGCGGCGGCGCGCGCUGCGAGACAGGAUUGAUUCCCCGCGGCCAGCUGCGCGCAACCCAAGGGAAGAGUCCCUUGCCUCUGCAAGUCUCUGGGAUUGCGCUGGGUUAGUGGCAAGAGGCGCGACCGCCGGUGGGGCGAAGGCCCCAAGGCCCCGGCGGCCUCGAGGUGGCUUGUUUGGGCUAGCGGGGCCUGCCCAGCCCCUCCGCCCCCAGUACCCGGGCUGGAAAUGUGAAUUCAAGGCUGCACCCGCCCUGGUCACCUCUAACUGCCAGGGUGACAGUUCCAAAGUCAUGGGAAAUCUAACACCUAGCUCCAGGAUGAACGCUGUAACCUUUAUGGGACUAAUCGAGUGGAAUUAUUUGAUGGUCCUGAAGAAGAACUGGACUGUAUCCUCUGCAAGAAAAGUCUACUGGCUACACAGAUGUCUCAUCUCAGCUCUUUCAGGGCUGGCUUAAGUUUGGAGAAGAGGAAGCAUACUCCUGAAGAUGUCCCAGAAAGUCCAUAUGGUUGAGUUUCCCAUGUUUGCAUCAUGUUGGAAGCUGGUAAAACAAUUUGCUAUACUCUGAUAAGAGGAAGAGAAACACAUCAUGGAAAGCUCCGUAACCUAUUGCAGUUAGUGGACCGACAAUCUCUACUGUCCUCAAAAUGGACUUAAUAGCUGGGAGCAUAUAGAAAUUCCAGGGUCAGGGAUUGAAUCUGAGCUGAAACUGCACCUAUACUGUAACUGCGGCAAUGCUGGGUCCUUAACCCACUGCACCGGGCUGGGGACCAAACCCACAUCUCCAAAGCCACCUGAGCUGCUGCAGAGAAAAUGCUGAAUCCUUAAGCCGCUGGACCACAGCAAGUCAUACUCUCCUCCUGGCCCGUCAGCUUCUUCAGGAACCUCUACAAGAUCUGAAGUCUGGAAAAGAGGGAACAACAUGGAAUGAGCAAUGUCAUUUCUGGCCAAAUAAGCAGAGAUCAUGACACCAGUAGAAAAACUAAGAAAGAAGAAAAAAAUAUCAAAGGGUCUCCAAAACACUUGCAUCCUGCUCCUCUGAAGCUCACUAUUUCUGAACAAAAGUUGCUACUAUUAUGUUAAUUUAAUCUCCUGAAACAGAAGAUCAUCCCUAUAUUAGCCAACUAACUCUGAGAAAGCUUUUGAAUUUGGUUUCUGCUGGCCUUCCUAAAGCCAUCAAGGCUUUUAUGCUCUAGAACAUUUGAAAGCACAUGAGAGGAAACACAACAGUAUUUAGAAGCGGCCGGGCAGUGACUUCCUGACAAUGUAAAGCAAAUGCCUCUACAGCCCUGGAAGAAAAUAAACCUGUGGGACAGAGCCUUGCUAUGUGGUAAUAUAUUUGCUUUAGGACAUAACAAUACUGCGAGAAUGGCAAGAGGCUGGAUGGAGUUCAUUACCACUGACCCUGCAGGAAGGAAGCAAAACCAUUUUAAAGUAGUAAUCAAUUGUUUCUGUUUGUUUCCACUGAGGCAAGUUGGACUCUGGGGAAAGAAUAAAGUGACAUAUUUAAG
rnacentral:lncRNA from 9 species